rnacentral:tRNA from 1 species
GCUACUUUGGCAGAAGGUAUGUGUUGGAUUUAGGAUCCUAUAAAAUAGAAUUAAUCUAUA